rnacentral:rRNA from 1 species
UGUGUUGUUGGGUAGGGGAGCGUUCUGUAAGCCUGUGAAGGUGUGUCGUGAGGCAUGCUGGAGGUAUCAGAAGUGCGAAUGCUGACAUAAGUAACGAUAAAGCGGGUGAAAAGCCCGCUCGCCGGAAGACCAAGGGUUCCUGUCCAACGUUAAUCGGGGCAGGGUGAGUCGACCCCUAAGGCGAGGCCGAAAGGCGUAGUCGAUGGGAAACGGGUUAAUAUUCCCGUACUUGGUGUUACUGCGAAGGGGGGACGGAGAAGGCUAUGUUGGCCGGGCGACGGUUGUCCCGGUUUAAGCGUGUAGGUGUGUGUUCCAGGUAAAUCCGGUUCACUUUAACACUGAGGCGUGACGACGAGGCACUACGGUGCUGAAGCAACAAAUGCCCUGCUUCCAGGAAAAGCCUCUAAGCAUCAGGUAACAUCAAAUCGUACCCCAAACCGACACAGGUGGUCAGGUAGAGAAUACCAAGGCGCUUGAGAGAACUCGGGUGAAGGAACUAGGCAAAAUGGUGCCGUAACUUCGGGAGAAGGCACGCUGACACGUAGGUGAAGUGAUUUACUCAUGGAGCUGAAGUCAGUCGAAGAUACCAGCUGGCUGCAACUGUUUAUUAAAAACACAGCACUGUGCAAACACGAAAGUGGACGUAUACGGUGUGACGCCUGCCCGGUGCCGGAAGGUUAAUUGAUGGGGUCAGCGCAAGCGAAGCUCCUGAUCGAAGCCCCGGUAAACGGCGGCCGUAACUAUAACGGUCCUAAGGUAGCGAAAUUCCUUGUCGGGUAAGUUCCGACCUGCACGAAUGGCGUAAUGAUGGCCAGGCUGUCUCCACCCGAGACUCAGUGAAAUUGAACUCGCUGUGAAGAUGCAGUGUACCCGCGGCAAGACGGAAAGACCCCGUGAACCUUUACUAUAGCUUGACACUGAACAUUGAGCCUUGAUGUGUAGGAUAGGUGGGAGGCUUUGAAGUGUGGACGCCAGUCUGCAUGGAGCCGACCUUGAAAUACCACCCUUUAAUGUUUGAUGUUCUAACGUGGACCCGUAAUCCGGGUUGCGGACAGUGUCUGGUGGGUAGUUUGACUGGGGCGGUCUCCUCCUAAAGAGUAACGGAGGAGCACGAAGGUUGGCUAAUCCUGGUCGGACAUCAGGAGGUUAGUGCAAUGGCAUAAGCCAGCUUGACUGCGAGCGUGACGGCGCGAGCAGGUGCGAAAGCAGGUCAUAGUGAUCCGGUGGUUCUGAAUGGAAGGGCCAUCGCUCAACGGAUAAAAGGUACUCCGGGGAUAACAGGCUGAUACCGCCCAAGAGUUCAUAUCGACGGCGGUGUUUGGCACCUCGAUGUCGGCUCAUCACAUCCUGGGGCUGAAGUAGGUCCCAAGGGUAUGGCUGUUCGCCAUUUAAAGUGGUACGCGAGCUGGGUUUAGAACGUCGUGAGACAGUUCGGUCCCUAUCUGCCGUGGGCGCUGGAGAACUGAGGGGGGCUGCUCCUAGUACGAGAGGACCGGAGUGGACGCAUCACUGGUGUUCGGGUUGUCAUGCCAAUGGCACUGCCCGGUAGCUAAAUGCGGAAGAGAUAAGUGCUGAAAGCAUCUAAGCACGAAACUUGCCCCGAGAUGAGUUCUCCCUGAGACUUUAGGUCUCCUGAAGGAACGUUGAAGACGACGACGUUGAUAGGCCGGGUGUGUAAGCGCAGCGAUGCGUUG